GCCAAGGCAGGCCUGAGGGCCCCAGAAGGGGGCUCCCUCCCAGAGGCUGCUCUUAGCCUCCACCAUCACCCCCCAGCCACCGUGCUGGCCUGCUCAGCUGGGACACUAGGCAGAGAAACCACAAAUAAUUCAGCUGUUUAGGAGAACAUCAGUCUGGGUUUCCACGGCAACACCCUCUGGAGCCAGCUGUCCCAGCAGCUGACAGCGCAGGGCCAGGCCAGCCCGCAUCUCCAGUUGGAGCAGAGGAAAUGGGUCCACUCUGGCUUCUGAAUCGCCAGGCUGGGGUCCUCCAAGAGGAGGCUGGGCCGGAGGAUCUUGGAAACCCACCGGCCACGGGGUGAGUAGAACGAGGGCCUGGGAGAGGGAAGUCUGAAAUCGCAGAGCGACCCCACACCCCGUCAUUACACAUCACAUCGGCCGCCUUUCGGGCGGGCACAUGACACAGGCGUCACCUGUGCCUUCCCAGCUCAGCUUCCGCACCCUGCAAGGUGAGUCCCGCUGCAGCCCCACUGGGCAGGUGGGCAAGCAGGGGCCCAACGGGAAUCCGUGGCUCGCCUCUGGUUCCAGAUCCUGUUUCUGCUCAUGUCUCGAUCUGUGGCUGCCGGCUCCCUCUCACCUGGCUCCCAGAGUGUGGGUCCCCCAGGGGCCUCUGCCUGGCCAGCCUCUAAAGGAGCAGAGGAUGGGCUGCUGCCCCCAGGGACCCCUGGGGAUAACAGGAGCUGGUGUCUCCUGAGGGCUUGCUGUGCGAUGCCCGGUUCGUGGUGCUUUUUAUGCCCUGUCUCUUUCCUUCUCUGAGAGGGGAUGUGCUCUUCUUACCUAUCCUGCUUAGGAGAAAAGGGGGGCUCAAGGAGGGGAAGGGGGUUGUCCAGAGUCACACAGCUCCUAAGUGGUGGGGCCUCGGUGAGACAGGCAGGGACCUGGGACCCUUGGCUGUGGUGCUGCCGUGCUGGCACCUGGACAAACGUCUCCUUGAGCAACAAAAUACAAAGAAACUAUAAGGGACUAAAAAUAACUGCGAGCAUGCGCAGUUGGGGCACAUUAUGGACAAGAAGAUACAAAAAGACCAAAAACCCGACUGCCACUCAGGGUGUCGUUAGCCAAGCAGGGCACUGCGCGUGCCCGCUGCACACAGCACCACCAGAGGGCUGGGCGAACCCCCUAAGUCGCCCCUGGACACACCCCUACCCGUCCCCCAUAGAAGGAACCAGCUGCCCCCCUCGGGAAGUGAGCGAGGGAACCUGUUACUUGUUCUCACUCCCUCCUGCUGCACCGGGGGCCCCAGUACAGCCUUGCCUGAAUCUCUUGUCUGGCCUCUGAUCCAUUUCUAUUGAUUAAGGGGGCCAAGAGCCCUGGUCGGUAACACAGGUGUGAGCCAGACUGACUCAGAACACGUACCAGAGAUGCCCUCAUGGUGGCCCUGUGGACACUGGUGUGACUCACGCCUCCAGGAGCCCCUUCAAUCCUGAGAUGCCCAGACCGUCCACAGGCCCUACCCCAGGACAGAGCAGAACUUUAGGGGACGCAGCGUCUCAACCACUCCGGAGCCUGGGAGCAGGCCCUGCAGACUGCCCUUGGGGCCCCCGAGGUCAGGUAAGUCCUGAGCUGGGGGCCCGGGCAGGUGCACAGAAACUGCAGUGAGCUGCUGCUAUCCAGGACCUCACCAUCUAGGGUAGGAAAGAGGUGUGCACAGCAGCCACAGAGCCACAAACCACGUCAUCUGUGUGACCCUGAGAACUUUUAGUGGCAACGAGGAUGGUUCCUGGAGGAGGGGCUCGAGGGCUGGAAGCAGUGUGGAGCCUGAGAUGUAUAGAGACUGAGGAGUCUGGGAGGCCAGGGAGACCAGGCAGGCCACAGCCAGUGGGAAAUGCAGUUCCGCUGACUAUGCACGGGAAGUGGCCAGCCUGCGGGUAGCUGACGGGCGGGACCAGAGCGGGCACAAUACUAUGUCACUUUUAGUCGGUGAGGAAAACACGGGGGAGACACAUAAGACAAAACAGAGGUAGGGUUAGUGGUCAAGAUAUAUGUCAUGAGGUCCUCUGUAUGUGCUGCUGGCUACAGUGGCAAAUUUGAUUCUGAGCUCCCCGGCAGCCAAUGCAAAAAGGGAAGACCAUUCUGCCAUUCAGUCAACGAGACAUGCAGGAUAAAACAGACAAGCUGCUUGGGAGAUGCUGGACUACAGCUACUUGUGAAAAAGAAGAGGAGUUUCUUGUCAAGAUUGACUUGAUGGUGCCUGCAGGCAUAGCAGCGGGACAACAUCCCUGCACAAGGUGAUGUCUCAAAGUAUCCCUGGGGACAGUAGUAUGGCUAAGACCUCCUGCAAGGGAUAAGCCUGGGAAGACAGGCAGGCAGCAGUCUACUGGCCAGGCUUCUUCAAGCUGUGUUUGAGCACAGCUUCUCAGCAGGAGUGGGGCACAGCUAAAUGCAAACCUUGCAACCCCCAUACCCACAAGGUUCUACAAAGCCCCUGCCCCCCUUGCAGAUGGGACCCAACCGCAGUGCUCAGGUGCGCCAUGAGUGGGUGGGAGGCGCUGCCUUGGAACCUGCCCUUUACACUUGGCUGCACUCUUGAAUCACCUACAAGUUUGCAAGACCCGUCUCUGGAUCCACCCCCAGUUCUGCUGGGAUCCUGGAGCAUAUGCCCCAAACAUCCAUAUUUUCGAUCUUGUGGGCCACACGUGGUCCCUGACUACUCAACUCUGCCUUUGUUGGAAGGAGCUGUAGACGCAGGGGCGUGCCAGUGUCCCCAUCCCUGCACACUGAACUGGGAAUUCUCUGUAGCUGUCGUGUGUCACAAACGAUUCUUCUUCUUUUGAUGUUUUUUUAAUUGAAUGUUUUUCAAGCAUUAAAAAUUAUUUAACUAACCAUCUUCACUCACAGCUGUGCAAAAACAAGCAGCCGAUUUGAUCCAGGAACUGUAGUUUGCUAACUCCUGAUUGAGAAUGAAACACCCCUGUACACUAAAGAAGUCUUCAGAGCUGCGGAUGUGUCAAAAAUAUUAACCCUUCUAGUGAUGUGAUUAUUUGGUUACCAGCUGGAAAUCUCCUUAAAAGGUGAUUGGCCCUAGGAUUUAACUGCUGUCAGGAGGAAGGACAGAGAUCCAAUGUUUCUGCAACUGGAAUCAUCAUUUUUAGCAUACUUCUUUCGACAUGUCACUAACUGAGCGUUAACAAAUCUGUUUCAACUUGCUUGAUUACCUGUGGGUACCUGUUUCAACCACUUCAUCUCGGCAGGCUCACGGGGCAGUUUCAGUGUUCAAAGCUGGAUCUUGUACUUGCACUGGCCCGGAGAUUGUUUUAAGAAAUGAUUUUUUUAAAAUAAUUGGGCUUGGCAGGAAGGAUGACAGCAGCUUUUCUCAGAACACAGCUCCAUGAAACCAGUUCCUGAAAAACACGGCAUCUGGGAGGCAGAGUUUUAUGGCCAGAGAAUCAGGGGCGAUCUGCACGUGCCUUUGUGAAAAUGGUGUUGCAGGAUCAUCCCUGGCGCUGAGUGGGGUUGGCUGCUCAAGGCCGGUAACACCAGCUCCUUAACCGCUUUGCCCAGGGAACGCUCUCUGCCAGCAAAGCCCGGAAAUAAGUGUGUGGAACAACGGCUUUGGGAGAAGUUCACCUGAAGAGUGAAAUUAGGGGUCUCAUCGCCCAUUUAACCAGGGCUUGGAGCAGAGCCUGAAUUAUUUUUAGAGGACCCCCAUGGCCGUUGGCGAACCCCCUUUCCAAGAUGGGUCGCCUUCCUUUUAGCCUUGAGGCUUAUGGGGCUGCCCUCCCUCCCCACCAUCCCCUGGGACUGGGUUCCACGGGAAAGCCACCCCAAUUCUCUGCUGCUGGACACUUGCUAAACUCUGAGUCCCGGGUUUUGCACGGAGGACAGGUAAUCCAGCUUACCUGGAGCCAAGGUUCUAAACCUGGCUGCAUGGGAGAAUCACCUGGGAGCUCUGAAGAUUCCUCAUGCCUGGACCGCACCCAGAGCAGAUUAGAUCUAGACCCUCAUGGGGCCGACACCUCAGGCCUGGGAAGGUUCUGGGUGGCCAGAUCCCUGAGUGGGACCAAGCUUGGCCAGAGCAGCUGGAGCCUGGUGGGGAAGGGAAGGAGGGAGGUGGUGUGGCCAGCGGGCAGACCACCAGAAGGGGCUUAAUCUGCUUGAAAGGUGAUGCCGCUGGUGCCCCCUCUCUGUGUACACGUCCCCAGGCUGUGCUUUGUUUCAAGAUGGUGAUGGGAGUGCCUGGCCAGCGUUGGCUGCCCUUAAACUCUGUCAUACACACGCCACCCCCAGCCCUGCUCCUACCCCACUGCAAGAACCUGUGUGCCACAGGGAUACGGAGACACUCCUGCCCCCCGGACACCAUGGACCCUGAGUGACUGUUCAUGAGAGCCACCCUCAGGGAGGACAGGUGGGCUGCUCCCUGAUAAAGGAAGAAAGUUCUAGAACACGUGAGGCUGGCAACAAGAAUUCCAGGUUGAGGGGAACAUAUGAGCCAAAAACAUGAUCUCUGGAGGCAGAACUCACAGACCAGGGAUGGGAACAGGGACCUUUGGAGUGAUGGGAGCCCAGAGGGUAUGAAGGCUUGAAGGGGGAGAUAAGGCUGGGAAAUAAACUGGGGACCCACGGAAGCCCCUCCAGACUUGGGGAGGGGCUGCAGCGUGAAGGCGUUUGUUUGGUGAAUUCACUGUGACCGGGCUGGGGCCAUGCAACACAGCAACAAUAAUAAUAAAGUGUUUCCUGAGCAGUCCAGGCUGGCCGCUCAACGAGUUCCAAGCCUUGACUGCCUCUGAUCCUGUCGCAGCCCUGUGAGGUGGGUGCGGUUAUCACCUCCACUUUAUAGGUGGAGUAACUGGGGCUCCAGCAAGACCACAGGGCAGUCAUUAGCAGAGGCUAGAUUUUAUUUUCCAUCAGAUACCCAGGAAGAAAACCAGGAAACACAGUGGUGGCUGCCCUGUGUGUGUCUGAGAGGCCAGGGGGCCAGGGUGGGGGGACACCGAAGAGUGGCAGAAAUGUAGCACAGCGGGUGGAGCUUUGGGGAAUAAACAGCUGUGCCGCCAGGAAUACCGACCCACAUCGCUGAUCCAAGUUCCAAAAUCCAGAAAGCUCUGAAUCCCAGAGUUCCCUCAUGCGGUUCUUGGCAUCAAAAAUUGACCUGCAAUUUUCGGCAACAAAACUUCACCUGGCCGGUCAAAUCUUUGUCUCUUUCGAGGUGGGUAUUCCUACAUUUCAUAGAUUUAAAAGUGGGGUACCACUCCGGCCCCCGCUGGGAGGGUGGCAUAAUAGAAUGGGAUUCAUACCCAAUUACCUUUCUAAAAUCCCCAAAGUCUUGUCUUUUGGCGAAGGGUGGUCUUUGGUCCUGCUGGGGAGGUCCUGCUGUCAGUCCUGGGGGUCAGGAGCCCCCAGUUCUAGGUCCAGCCCUGCCCCUCCCUGUUGGUGUGGGCUCAAGUUGGUGCAGGUCUUUGCCGGGCAGUGGGAUGGAAGAAGAAGCAGCUGCUCUGCUCACCAGGUGAGGCUGCUGGGAGGGAACUAGGAGACCCCUACACAGAGGGAAGCUGCUGGGGAUCCCUCGGCAUUUCUGGAACCAGCGGCGCUUUAGGGAGGGCGGGGCUCCCUAGCCCACGGGAAGUGGGCUUGGAUGCAGGAGGCCCGGAUCCUAGCCCUGGCCAGCUCUGCCACCAAACUGCUGUGUGAUCCUGGGCAGGUGUCCGCCCCUCUCUGGACUUUAAUUUUCUGUUUGUAAAAUGCAGGCCGAGGUAAAGCCCAGCGGGCCUUCCUGAUCGCACCAUCUAGGACACGCUAAGCUGCACAAAGUUCCCUCAGUCGCCCCCCUACCCACCGAGACACCCCCCCCGCCAGGCCCCAGGAUGGAGCUGCAAGCACCCCUGUGUCUCUGCUCCCCUUUCUCUAAUUGAAGGGGUGGGCAGGCCUCGCCUUUCUCAUUCUCCGUGGCAUGUGCCUGCUUCUCGGGGUGGAGAUCAGAGCCUUUUGGAGCCUUGAUUCCCACGGGUGGGGGCCCGGGCAGCAUCCCUGCGCCCGCCCGCCCGCCCGCCGUCCAGGCGGCCCGAGCCGGCCGAGGGCUCAGCGUCUGCCUACUCACACCCCGGGGUGGGGAGGGAUUUCCAUGGGGCUUAUGGUGAUUUAUAAUGGGGAACCUCCGCUUUCCCCCGACAUUGUUCUCCCUGACAGAGGGAAGAAAGAAGGCAGUAAAUCUCCUCUCAUCAUAAGUGAUGAUGAAGCCGCCGCUCCGGCCCCGUCCGCGAUGCCCUCGACCGCGACAAACUGCUCUAUUGUCAUCUAUUACAUUUUUCUCAAAAAACCUUCAGCCGCGCACAAGGCCGGAGCCAUAUCCUUAACUGGCUCUUCCUCAUUGUCCGCGCCCGAGGGAAACAGAAUGUGUCAGUCUGAGUAAUGCUCUGUCAAUACUUCUCAGGAGGCUGCUCGAGCUGCGGCCCGGAUAAAGCUGUCCCCACGCUUUCUCAGGCCCCUCGGCCGGGAUGAAAGCUGCCCGCGUCGGACGGCCAGGGCGCCACCACGCCACCUGCCCCACGGGGACACUUGGCCGGCCGGGCUGGUGGCCGUCCCCUCCUCCCCAAGUCGGUCUGGGGGCUACCGGGGGGCUGGAGGGCUGGGGCAGGGUGGGCACCGGGGCGGGUUGGGGGAGGGAUGCUGGAGGGGAAAGCAGGGUCUCCUUAGGCACUGUCAGCAAUCAGAUGGGGCUCUGCCCUGCCAGGCCCGGGACAGACAAGUGGCAGCUCCCAUAGGUCUGAGUCCUACAGCCCUUUACUGGGAAGUGCAUAGUUAGCAAAACCCAGUCCAGCUGAUUACGUUGUUUUGGUGUCCAUUCACCACUCACUCGUCCAUCCCUUCCCUCGCAAUUCAUUCAUUGCCCCUUUGCCCGGUGCUUUAAUGGGUGGGUAAGGGGGUGCUACUACCUGUGGCUUCCAGGGGGUUGGGGGAGGGGAGUCUGCCAGCAGCUUGGGUCCCACCUGACACAGCCCUCACAGCACGACUGGCUACGUAGCUGGAGGGGCCGAAGCAAAAUGAAAAUGCAGCCCCAGUUCAAAAACGGUGACCAAUUCUAGACGGGACAGCUCGGCACGGCACCUGGCACGGAGCCCUUGGGACGGCUGCCCCGUGCGAUCACAUGGUCGCUGGCCGGCGAGGCUGCCCUGCUCUCGGGGACCUGGGCCGGAGGAAAGCAUGGCUCCCAGAGCAUCACAGGCCUGCCCCUGCCUGGCCAGUGAGGCUGGACUCACACACUCAUAUGUGAGCCUGCUGAGAAACUGGGGGUCAACCAGAGAGCCCAAAGUCCCAGCCCCGCUCCAGUACACUUCGCUUGGUCUGAGAGGUCACCUGCUGUCAGCUGUCACCCCCGAUGCUGUCGGCUGUGGCAUUUCGGUCCCUCACCGGUGGCUGCAGAGCCCGCUAGGCAGAGAGGCCUCAGAGAUCACCCCAACUGACCGAGGCCUGGGGCCAGGCUGGCUGCACCCCCGUGAGCCUCAUGUCCCAGGAGCAGUGGGCUGGGACGGGGAGGCCCCCGCCUCCCCUGAGGACCCACCUACUGGGAAUCCUCCUCCUGGGGGACCUGGAACCACGACAGAGCCUUUCAGCCAGUGUGGGACCUAAGCCUUGGCACCAGGACAGGACAUGUUCUUAGAGCUUCAUCCCUGCCCGAAAAAUGGGGUCAGUGAGGCCACGUGCAGGCUGGGAGGUGCUGAGGUGACGGCGCAGAGGCGACAGGGCAGGUGGGAAACCCCCAAACUGGCAACUCCUCCUGGCAAUUCUCUGUAUCCUGUGGUUGACUGGGUACCAACACCCACCACCAUGCCUUUGGUGAUGGGAGACUGCAGCACCUCCCAUCAAGACGGGGGCGGGUCUCCCCACCCCUUAAAUCUGGACCAGCGGUGACUUACUUUGACCAACAGGAUGUGGUGGAAGCAGCAGAGUGCCAACUCUGAGCCCCGGCCCCCAGGGCCCCACUUUCCUGUAUCCCAGGAUACACACAGGGCCAGGCUAGCCCACCACCCCUCCGAGUACCCCUCCGAGGUACUCAGAAAGCACUUGCUGAGCUGGACGGGAUGAGAGUGAAAUGAGCUGAAUUGAAUGAACUGAACUGAAUUGAAAUGAACUAAAUUAAUCAAAAAACAACACUCGAUUGUCUCGCUG